AAAGGGAGACCUAAUUCAGGUAGGAGACGAAAAAAAAGUAGUCCCAACCAAGAAUCAAUCCCAAAAGGUCGGAGCGAGGUAUGAGGCUUUCAAACUAGGUUCUGGGUUCAUAAAAGACCUGAAUCAGGAACAAGGGCUAUUAGCUCAGGUGGUUAGAGCGCACCCCUGAUAAGGGCGAGGUCCCUGGUUCGAGUCCAGGAUGGCCCACCUGCACAGGUGGCAAAAACAAAGAAAAGAAGCUCCGAAUCAGCACCUUAUCUUACUUAUAUAGUAAGAGAGAAUGCUGGCUCUGAGUUCAGAGUCCAGAGGAACCUUGAAAACUGCAUAGAGCUAGGUGAAAAAGCCAAAAAAGAAGACCGCAAG
rnacentral:tRNA from 1 species